UUGUGGAAGCCACUGCUAGGGA
rnacentral:siRNA from 1 species